UUUUUUAAGUUUUUCGCAUAAUUUAUAUUCUUUCUGCGUAUUAAAUAAUUAAAAUGCAUUUUUCUAAGCACUUUUUUAUAACUAUUACAUUUAUGGUUCUUGAAAUUUUAAUUAUUCCAACAACUGCAUUCACAGAAUAUACCCAGAGUUAUGUUGAAAUUUCACUACAUAACGAUGGUAAUUUUGUAUUGGAUUAUGCUGAUGGUGAAGGUGGGCAAGGUAAAUAUUAAAUAUUUUUAUACUUUGAUGUAUUGAAGUCAAUUAUAAAUUAAAUGAAUAAAUUGCUGCUAUUUGAAAUAUCGUUCUUGCAUUCUGUAACAAAAAUUGAAAUAUACAUUUCAAA